rnacentral:rRNA from 1 species
GACGAACGCUGGCGGCGUGCCUAACACAUGCAAGUCGAACGGGGAGUUAGUAAUAACUCCUAGUGGCGAACGGGUGAGUAACGCGUAGAUAACCUGCCUCUAAACUGGGGACAACACCGCGAAAGUGGUGCUAAUACCGAAUGUGGUAACUUGAUCGCAUGAUUGAGUUAAGAAAGAUGGCCUCUAUUUAUACGCUAUCGAUUAGAGAUGGGUCUGCGUCUGAUUAGCUAGUUGGUGAGGUAAUGGCUCACCAAGGCGACGAUCAGUAGCCGGUCUGAGAGGAUGAACGGCCACACUGGGACUGAGACACGGCCCAGACUCCUACGGGAGGCAGCAGUGGGGAAUCUUCCGCAAUGGACGAAAGUCUGACGGAGCAACGCCGCGUGAGUGAAGAAGGUCUUCGGAUUGUAAAGCUCUGUCGUUUGGGACGAACGUGGGUAGUGCGAAUAAUGCUAUCUAAUGACGGUACCAAAGGAGGAAGCCACGGCUAACUACGUGCCAGCAGCCGCAGUAA